GAUGAACGCUAGCGACAGGCUUAACACAUGCAAGUCGAGGGGCAGCGGGUAAGUAGCUUGCUACUUAUGCCGGCGACCGGCGGACGGGUGCGUAACGCGUAUGUAACCUACCUUUGACAGGGGGAUAACAUCGAGAAAUUGGUACUAAUACCCCAUAACAUCACCGGAGGCAUCUUCGGUGGUUGAAAACUCAGGUGGUCAGAGAUGGACAUGCGUUGUAUUAGCUAGUUGGUGAGGUAACGGCUCACCAAGGCGACGAUACAUAGGGGGACUGAGAGGUCAACCCCCCACAUUGGUACUGAGACACGGACCAA
rnacentral:rRNA from 1 species